rnacentral:rRNA from 1 species
UCCGGGGGGCGCAAGCGUUGUUCGGAUUUACUGGGCGUAAAGGGCGCGUAGGCGGCGCGGUAAGUCACUUGUGAAAUCUCUGAGCUUAACUCAGAACGGCCAAGUGAUACUGCAGUGCUAGAGUGUGGAAGGGGCAAUCGGAAUUCUUGGUGUAGCGGUGAAAUGCGUAGAUAUCAAGAGGAACACCUGAGGUGAAGACGGGUUGCUGGGCCAACACUGACGCUGAGGCGCGAAAGCCAGGGGAGCAAACGGG